AGGCAGAGAGAGAGAGAGAGAGAGAGAGAGAGAGAGAGAGAGAGAGAGGUCAACACAACCUCAAGGUUGUAACACAGUAUAUGUGUGGGUGUGACUGGGUACUGAGCCACUGACUUCUGGGAAUAAAACAACGUUACAGGCCAACUGGCACCAGUGGAAAAUAACGCAACCGACACAAUUCUGAGGUGAUGGAGGCCCAUCUGAGCAGAGACCAAGCUAUCAAGGCCUGUACAGCCAAAACAUCUGUGGUGAUGGGACCUCUGGGUGACGACCUGGCAGUCAUCAAACAACUCAGGAAGGAGCAGACCAAACUCUGGCUGUAUGUUUAGGGUCAUUGUCCUGCUGGAAGAUGAACCUCCGCCCCAGUCUCAAGUCUUUUGCAGACUGCAUCAGAUUUUCUUCAAGGAUUUCCCUGUAUUUGGCUCCAUCCAUCUUUCCCUCUAUUCUGACCAGUUUCCCUGUACCUGCUGAAGAGAAGCAUCCCCACAGCAUGAUGCUACCACCACCAUGUUUCACUGUUGGGAUGGUGUGCUCAGGGUGAUGGGCACUGUUGGGUUUUCGCCACACAUAGCGUUUUGCAUUGAGGUCAAAAAGUUAAUUUUGGUCUCAUCUGACCAGAGCACCUUCUUCCACAUGUUUGCUGUGUCUCCCACAUGGCUUCUGGCAAACUCCAAACGGGAUUUUUUAUGGAUCCCUUUCAACAAUGGCUUUCUUCUUGCCACUCUUCCAUAAAGGCCAGAUUUGUGGAGUAGACGACUAAUAGUUGUCCUGUGGACAGAUUCUCCCACCUCAGCUGUGGAUCUCUGCAACUUCAUCCAGAGUAACCAUGGGCCUCCUGGUUGCUUCUGAUUAAUUUUCUCCUUGUCCGACUCUUCAGUUUGGGUGGACGGCCUCCUCUUGGUAGGUUUGCGGUUGUGCCAUAUUCUUUCCAUUUUCUUAUGAUGGAUUUUAUGGUGCUCAGAGAGAUGUUCAAAGCUCUGGAUAUUUUUUUAUAACCUAACCCUGCUUCAUAUUUCUCCACAACUUUAUCCCUGACCUGUUUGGUGAGCUCCUUGGUCUUCAUGAUGCUGUUUGUUCAGUAAUGAUCUCCAACAAACUCUGAGUCCGUCACAGAACAGGUGUAUUUAUACUGAGAUUAAAUUGCAGACAGGUGGACCCUAUUUACUAAUUAUGUGACUUGCAAAUGUGACUUGUGAAUGCAAUUGGUCGCACCAGAUCUUUGUUAGGGGUUUCACAGUAAAGGGGGUGAAUACAUAUGCACUCAACACUUUUCAGAUUUUUAUUUGUAAAUAAUUGUGAAAUCCAUGUAAUAUUUCCCCCCACUUCCAAAUGAUGCACUAUUUUGUGUUGGUCCAUUACAUAAACUCACGAUGAAAUAAAUUUUAAUCUGUGGUUAUACCAUGACAAAAUGUAGAAAAGUCCAAAGGGGGUGAAUACUUGCCUCGGCGAGGGUAUUGCACCUAGUACAGUAAAUAUUUGCAGAGGCAUCAUGCCACAUUAAAUCCAUUGGUUAGUGUGUGAGUUCCUGUCAGAGGGACAGGUGAUAGAUGGGUAUCAGUGUGACAAAGUUCAGGUCAAACGCUUCGAGGUAAAUAGUUUUGGUUUUUGGCCUUAUCUGCAACGUCUAUGUGAGAUGUAUGCAAAUUCUUCCAGCUUAUCGGCUGAAUCUGUGGGGGAUAUGCUGAUCUGUCACAAAAUAGAUAUGAUGGUGACAGGUUUAUCUAACAAAUACCUCAGAGAAUUUAAAACUGGCAGAGCUAAAGAACAGUUGGUGACACAUUGAUGCUACGAGAGCUUUGCCAGAACUUGUGUUACUUCAAAGAAGGAGGAAGAUGAUGCCACGGAACAGUACAGCCUUACUUAACACAUGAAUUCCAAAACUUCUGUGAACUUAUACACACUUAUGAAAUCCUACUACACAAAAGCUAAAUGCAACCAGGAGAAAUAGUUCCAAAUGUCACACACCCAUGUGUUCAAUCUGUUUUCUAAAAAAAAAAACUUCUG